UGUUAAAAAAUUUCAUCUAUUUCUGCUGUUAAAAACUGAUCUAGUUGAUGGAAUAACCAGACUGUUACCAGUGGUGUGCUACAUGAGACCAGUUUUAACAGUAAAAAUGGAUGGGAUUUUUAAUA
rfam:Gossypium hirsutum cultivar TM-1 chromosome 24, whole genome shotgun sequence